AGCGAACGCUGGCGGCACGCCUAACACAUGCAAGUCGAACGAAGCAUAAGAGCUUGCUCUUAUGACUGAGUGGCGCACGGGUGAGUAACACGUGGGAAUCUGCCUAUUGGUGGGGAAUAACUUUUGGAAACGAAAGCUAAUACCGCAUAAGCCCUAAGGGGGAAAGAUUUAUCGCCAAUAGAUGAGCCCGCGCUAGAUUAGCUAGUUGGUGAGGUAAGAGCUCACCAAGGCUACGAUCUAUAGCUGGUCUGAGAGGAUGGUCAGCCACACUGGGACUGAGACACGGCCCAGACUCCUACGGGAGGCAGCAGUGGGGAAUAUUGGACAAUGGGGGAAACCCUGAUCCAGCGAUGCCGCGUGAGUGAAGAAGGCCUUCGGGUUGUAAAGCUCUUUCAGAGGGGAUGAUAAUGACGGUACCCUCAGAAGAAGCACCGGCUAACUCCGUGCCAGCCGCCGCAGUAA
rnacentral:rRNA from 1 species